rnacentral:miRNA from 1 species
GAUGCCCAGUUCAAUUUGAAAUUGAGACGAAUGACAAAUAUUUUUUUUAGCAUAAGUAUGCCCCAUGCAAUGUUUGAGACAUACUUAUACUAAAAAUUAUUUAUUGCUAAUCUGAAUUUCAAAUUUAACUGGAUGUCCUAUAUUUU